GUAGUCCACGCCGUAAACGAUGGAUGCUAGCCGUGUACCGUAUCGACCCGGUACGUGGCGAAGCUAACGCGUUAAGCAUCCCGCCUGUGGAGUACGAGCGCAAGCUUAAAACAUAAAGGAAUUGACGGGGACCCGCACAAGCGGUGGAGUGUGUUGUUUAAUUCGAUGCAAAACGAAGAACCUUACCCAGGUUUGACAUCCUUAGAAUUUUGCCGAAAGGCGAGAGUGCUUUAUUGAGCUAAGUGACAGGUGCUGCAUGGCCGUCGUCAGCUCGUGUCGUGAGAUGUUUGGUUAAGUCCAUCAACGAGCGCAACCCUUGUGAGUAGUUGAAUUUUUCUACUCAGACUGCCUCGGUAACGGGGA
rnacentral:rRNA from 1 species